AACGAACGCUGGCGGCAUGCCUAACACAUGCAAGUCGAACGAGACCUUCGGGUCUAGUGGCGCACGGGUGCGUAACGCGUGGGAACCUGCCCUUAGGUUCGGAAUAACUCCCCGAAAGGGGUGCUAAUACCGGAUAAUGUCUUCGGACCAAAGAUUUAUCGCCUUUGGAUGGGCCCGCGUUGGAUUAGCUAGUUGGUAGGGUAAAAGCCUACCAAGGCGACGAUCCAUAGUUGGUCUGAGAGGAUGAUCAGCCACACUGGGACUGAGACACGGCCCAGACUCCUACGGGAGGCAGCAGUGGGGAAUAUUGGACAAUGGGCGAAAGCCUGAGCCAGCAAUGCCGCGUGAGUGAUGAAGGCCUUAGGGUUGUAAAGCUCUUUUACCCGGGAUGAUAAUGACAGUACCGGGAGAAUAAGCUCCGGCUAACUCCGUG
rnacentral:rRNA from 1 species